GACGGGGGCCCGCACAAGCGGAGGAACAUGUGGUUUAAUUCGAUGAUACGCGAGGAACCUUACCCGGGCUUGAACUGCAGGAGAAGGAUACAGAGAUGUUGACGCCCUUCGGGGCUCCUGUGGAGGUGCUGCAUGGUUGUCGUCAGCUCGUGCCGUGAGGUGUCGGCUUAAGUGCCAUAACGAGCGCAACCCUUUUCGUCAGUUGCCAUCAGGUGAUGCUGGGCACUCUGGCGACACUGCCACCGUAAGGUGUGAGGAAGGUGGGGAUGACGUCAAAUCAGCACGGCCCUUACGUCCGGGGCUACACACGUGUUACAAUGGGGCAUACAGAAGGCCGGUGCAUGGCAAUGUGCAUCCAAUCUUAAAAGUGCUCCUCAGUUCGGAUUGGGGUCUGCAACCCGACCCCAUGAAGCUGGAUUCGCUAGUAAUCGCGCAUCAGCCAUGGCGCGGUGAAUACGUUCCCGGGCCUUGUACACACCGCCCGUCAAGCCAUGAAAGCCGGGGGCGCCUGAAGUCCGUGACCGCGAGGGUCGGCCUAGGGUGAAACCGGUGAUUGGGGCUAAGUCGUAACAAGGUAG
rnacentral:rRNA from 1 species